AGUGAACGCUGGCGGUAGGCCUAACACAUGCAAGUCGAACGGCAGCACAGGAGAGCUUGCUCUCUGGGUGGCGAGUGGCGGACGGGUGAGGAAUACAUCGGAAUCUACUCUGUCGUGGGGGAUAACGUAGGGAAACUUACGCUAAUACCGCAUACGACCUACAGGUGAAAGCAGGGGACCUUCGGGCCUUGCGCGAUUGAAUGAGCCGAUGUCGGAUUAGCUAGUUGGCGGGGGAAAGGCCCACCAAGGCGACGAUGCGUAGCUGGCCUGAGAGGAUGCUCAGCCACACUGGAGCUGGGACACGGUCCAGACUCCUACGGGAGGCAGCAGUGGGGAAUAUUGGACAAUGGGCGCAAGCAUGUUCCAGCCAUACCGCGUGGGUGAAGAAGGCCUUCGGGUUGUAAAGCCCUUUUGUUGGGAAAGAAAUCCAGCUGGCUAAUACCCGGUUGGGAUGACGGUACCCAAAGAAUAAGCACCGGCUAACUUCGUGCCAGCCGCCGCAGUAA
rnacentral:rRNA from 1 species